rnacentral:rRNA from 1 species
UACGUAGGGGGCUAGCGUUGUCCGGAUUUAUUGGGCGUAAAGAGCGUGUAGGCGGCUUUACAGGUCCGUUGUGAAAACUCGAGGCUCAACCUCGAGACGCCGGUGGAAACCGUAAGGCUAGAGUCCGGAAGAGGAGAGUGGAAUUCCUGGUGUAGCGGUGAAAUGCGCAGAUAUCAGGAAGAACACCUAUGGCGAAGGCAGCUCUCUGGGACGGUACUGACGCUGAGACGCGAAAGCGUGGGGAGCGAACAGG